CCGAAGAACGAUCAUACGUACGGUUCGCAUCGAUACAAGGUAAUGAUCAAACUUAGGAUUGGAAUUGGCAUGCGGACGUAUGGCAGACUUCAGACUUUACUUCGUCAUAUUAUUUGAACUUAAUUAUAUUUUUAGGUUAUUUUAUUAUUAUUAUUUGGUUUUGGAUUAUAAAGCUUCUUUAAACUGUGGUUUGGGACUGUUCGAGAUUUUGGGGUUUUUCAUGCAUGCAUGACACACAUAUUUGGUAUAAAUACAUGGUUUUUAUAA